GUCGCUGAGACAACAGCGACCCGGAUUGGCGUCCGGAACAUGCAAAAGGCGGACAACCGCCGCAGCGCGGUUUUUUC
rnacentral:sRNA from 1 species